UACGGGGGGGAGCAAGCGUUUGUUCGGAUUUACUGGGCGUAAAGGGCGCGUAGGCGGCGCCGUAAGUCGGGUGUGAAAUUUCGGAGCUUAACUCCGAAACUGCAUUCGAUACUGCGGUGCUUGAGGACUGGAGAGGACGACUGGAAUUCAUGGUGUAGCAGUGAAAAUGCGUAGAGAUCAUGAGGAAGACCAGUGGCGAAGGCGGGUCUCUGGGCCACUACUGACGCUGAGAAGCGAAAGCAUGGGGAGCGAACAGG
rnacentral:rRNA from 1 species